UGUAAUACCCGCCAGAAAAUCACCGAUCGCAUGUUGUAGUGUUGAAAAUAUGUAAUCUCAACUUUCGGCCUGGAUACUUUUGGUAAUCAUGAGUGAUGAAAGAGCAUGGGCACUGACAGGUCAUCGUCAGUCAUCAACCUAGCCUACUUUGACAGGUGCGAGGAGGCAUCGAAACAG